rnacentral:rRNA from 1 species
UACGUAGGGGGCAAGCGUUGUCCGGAUUUAUUGGGCGUAAAGAGCUCGUAGGCGGUUCAGUAAGUCGGGUGUGAAAACUUUGGGCUUAACCCAAAGCGUGCAUCUGAUACUGCUGUGACUUGAGUUCGGUAGGGGAGUGGGGAAUUCCUAGUGUAGCGGUGAAAUGCGCAGAUAUUAGGAGGAACACCGGUGGCGAAGGCGGAUCUCUGGGCCAUUACUGACGCUGAGGAGCGAAAGCGUGGGGAGCGAACAGG